GACGAACGCUGGCGGCGUGCCUAACACAUGCAAGUCGAGCGGAGAUGAUGUGAGGAAGUUUUCGGAUGGAAUCACAUUAUUUUAGCGGCGGACGGGUGAGUAACGCGUGAGCGACCAACCUUGCACAGGGGGAUAACGGACCGAAAGGUUCACUAAUACCGCAUGAGACCACGGUGUUGCAUGACACAGAGGUCAAAGGAGCAAUCCGGUGCAAGACGGGCUCGCGUCCGAUUAGGUAGUUGGAGGGGUAACGGCCCACCAAGCCUAUGAUCGGUAGCCGACCUGAGAGGGUCGAUCGGCCACAUUGGAACUGAGAUACGGUCCAAACUCCUACGGGAGGCAGCAGUGGGGAAUAUUGGGCAAUGGGGGAAACCCUGACCCAGCAACGCCGCGUGAAGGAAGAAGGUUUUCGGAUUGUAAACUUCUGUCCUUGGUGAAGAGAAGAAGACGGUAGCCAAGGAGGAAGCCCCGGCUAACUACGUG
rnacentral:rRNA from 1 species